UGGGGAAUAUUGCACAAUGGGCGAAAGCCUGAUGCAGCAACGCCGCGUGAAGGAUGAAGGCCUUUGGGUCGUAAACUUCUGUCCUUGGGGAAGAAAAAAAUGACGGUACCCCUGGAGGAAGUCCCGGCUAAUUACGUGCCAGCAGCCGCGGUAAUACGUAGGGGGCGAGCGUUAUCCGGAAUUAUUGGGCGUAAAGAGUACGUAGGUGGUUUUUUAAGCGCAGGGUUUAAGGCGAUGGCUCAACUGUCGUUCGCCCUGUGAACUGGAAGACUUGAGUACAGGAGAGGAAAGCGGAAUUCCUAGUGUAGCGGUGAAAUGCAUAGAUAUUAGGAGGAACACCAGUGGCGAAGGCGGCCUUCUGGACAGCAACUGACGCUGAGACGCGAAAGCGUGGGGAGCAAACA
rnacentral:rRNA from 1 species